rnacentral:rRNA from 1 species
AGUGAACGCUGGCGGUAGGCUUAACACAUGCAAGUCGAGCGGCAGCACAGUAAGAGCUUGCUCUUACGGGUGGCGAGUGGCGGACGGGUGAGGAAUACAUCGGAAUCUACUUUUUCGCGGGGGAUAACGUAGGGAAACUUACGCUAAUACCGCAUACGACCUACGGGUGAAAGCAGGGGAUCUUCGGACCUUGCGCGAUUGAAUGAGCCGAUGUCGGAUUAGCUAGUUGGCGGGGUAAAGGCCCACCAAGGCGACGAUCCGUAGCUGGUCUGAGAGGAUGAUCAGCCACACUGGAACUGAGACACGGUCCAGACUCCUACGGGAGGCAGCAGUGGGGAAUAUUGGACAAUGGGCGCAAGCCUGAUCCAGCCAUACCGCGUGGGUGAAGAAGGCCUUCGGGUUGUAAAGCCCUUUUGUUGGGAAAGAAAAGCAGCAGGUUAAUACCCCGCUGUUCUGACGGUACCCAAAGAAUAAGUACCGGCUAACUUCGUG